UACGGGGGGGGCAAGCGUUGUUCGGAAUUACUGGGCGUAAAGGGCUCGUAGGUGGCCAACUAAGUCAGACGUGAAAUCCCUCGGCUUAACCGGGGAACUGCGUCUGAUACUGGAUGGCUUGAGUUUGGGAGAGGGAUGCGGAAUUCCAGGUGUAGCGGUGAAAUGCGUAGAUAUCAGGAGGAACACCGGUGGCGAAGGCGCACAUCUGGCCCGAUACUGACGCUGAGGCGCGAAAGCUAGGGGAGCAAACGGG
rnacentral:rRNA from 1 species